GCCUGACUGGCUCAGUCGGUAGAGCAUCCGACUCUUGAUCUUGGGAUCGUGAGUUCGAGCCCCACAUUGGGUG
rnacentral:tRNA from 1 species